rnacentral:rRNA from 1 species
GAAAUAGAACCUGAAACCCUGCACUUACAAGCUGUGGAAGCACAUUUCUUGUGUGACCGCGUACUUUUUGUAGAACGGGCCAACGAGUUACGUUAAGUAGCAAGGUUAAGCACUUAAGGUGCGGAGCCGUAGCGAAAGCGAGUUUUAACUGAGCGUUCAGUUACUUGACGUAGACCCGAAACCGGGCGACCUACCCAUGAGCAGGAUGAAGCGAAAGUAAAAUUUCGUGGAGGUCCGAACCCACG